rnacentral:siRNA from 1 species
AUAUCUCAUCAUUGAGGAUGGUC